ACAACACAAAUGUAUUACCUUACAGCUCUAGAGGUCAGGGGUCCACAGCGGGUGGCAGGGCUGCGCUCCUUCUGGAGGCUCUAGGGGAGAAUCCGUGUCCUUGUCUUCUCCAGCUCCUAGAGGCCGGCUGCAUUCUUUGGCUAAGGGCCCCACCUCACGCUGACCUCUGACUCUGCCAUCACAUCUCCUACUCAGACUCUCCUGCCUCCCUCUUUCACUCUCAAGGAUCUCUGUGAUUACCCUGUCUCCACUCAGAUAACCCAAGAUGAUGUCCCCAUCUCGAGAUCCUUAACUGAAUCACCAAGGUGAGUGUCUUUUGCCAUGUAAGUAACAUAUUCACAGAUUCGGAGGAUUCUGUGCCAACCCUUUUCAAACAGGCAUACUUUGAAACCCCCUCUGUGCUCUAACCUGCAGGACAGACACUUUUUCAGUAUUCUCAAAUUUAAUGUGGAUUUACUAGUGAUGGUGGGAUUUCUAAAUAACUCUCAGGCUCACCUUUUAGCUGCCCUUGUCACUUUUCUUAUGGCUGAGUGAGGCUGGGAUGGCAGCCUUGUGACAGACGGCGUACUAGGGUGUGUUGAUUUUUCUCUUUGAUUCAGUUAUUUGGCAGUUUUAGCAUUUUCUCUUCAGCUAAUACUGGGCGCCAGUUUUGUGUGCAAUUUACUUUCCCCUCUUUGUGUUUUCUUGUGGUUGGAGAGGUCGCUUUUGAGGUAAGGAGCUGUGCUGCUGCCAUUGUCCUUGGUGCCCAGAAGUCACUGAAGAUUCCUGAGUGCCUUGGCCCAUGUGUCCCUGUCCCACAUCUCAUGGCCCAUACGUCCCCAUCAGGGCCCUAUUCUGGCAGACAGGCCCACUGCCCUUGAGAGUUCAGACUCCUCAGUAGCUCUGCUAAUAUAAUCGUGUCCUGGGCACAUCCUCAGUUCUUCUGCCCCCUGGCUCUGGGAGAUGAGACUCUGCAGUGCCACCAGGAAGUCCUCUGGCUUUCACACUUCACCUUUCACUUGUGAUUAAUCUCUCUUACUUUUCAUUGUCUUUCUCCAAAGGAUUGAUCCCCAGCAACAGGCAUCCAAUUCCAUAGUCCUUAUAAUUACCAUUUCCUAUUCAGUUUCAAAUGCUGGACACCAAGGUAUUCUCUUGCUCUGGUUACACCCUCCCAGUUCACCACUGGUGAAGUUUGAACACUCGCUCCACUAGGAGAAGUAAGGGCCUCCCCUGCUCCACCUCCCGCCAGUGAUGGGGUCCUCUUGGCCAGCCAGCCCAGUCAUCCAAUUCCAAAUUUGCAUUUAGAGUUUGCUUUCCAGACCACUCCCAGUUGGACACCCAUAUGUCAGUUAUGGUGGGAAGAGACCCUGAAGUGGACAUGAGAAUGUGGAAGCUUAUCGUGGAGUGCAGCCAGGGUCAACAUGCCUGUGGGAGUGAGAGCAGGACUGGGACAGGGAGCUGGUGACCUACAUUCCAGGCACAACACAGACUCGUGAUCUCACAGAGCUGUGGAGCCAAGGUGGUCUUUCAGAGCUGUUUUCAGUGGAGGGGAGAGGGCUGAGCCUCUGUACUCUGGUUCAGCCAGUCUUCUGAUGCCAGCUGCCCUCCAGAAGGAGGUGCAAACUUGGGCAACGCAGCUCUCUUCACCUGAGAGAAAGUCCCAGAGAGCCGCUCAUGAGAACUGUCAUCCUCCAGGACCCCAGGAGCAAAAGAGGGUGAGGUCUCCUCUCCUUCCUUAGGAAUAAAUUCAUUUAUAAAAAAUUAUUUUAAUAUAUUUCUUUAAUUUUAAAAUCAAAAACUGCCCAUUAUAAAAAUGCAAAGAACUCAAACGUACUUCCCCAGAUAAAAUUUUCUGAGUCUAACAGAAAGAUUUCAGCUGACACAUGACCUGGGGUCAAGGUGGGCCGGCUAUUGUUUGAAGCCCCUCCAAGCAUGAGACCCCAUUUCCUAGACUUACCAGGCUGUUCUCCAGACAGCAGUUCUCAUGAGAUCAAGCUACUGUGAGGGCUCCCUCAGCUCCUGACAACAUGGGGUCAUCUAGCCUCACCCCUGCUAUGAAUGAGGGCAGCCUUGCAUCUCUCUCACCCACUGUGAAACCUGUCCUCACUCCACUUGCAUGCUGUGUGGACAUUCAUUCCUAGGACCCUGAGAGUAUGGACUUGUCCUGGUCCCAAAGGCACAGUCUCCGGUCAUUCUACAGAAAACAGUGAUGGAUUUCCCUAGGAUUGAAUCCCACUAAUCUUGUGACCCUCCCUAAACUCUCUGAGCCUCUGUUUCCUCAUCAAAAUGAGGAUAGUAAUACCUGCUCCAGAGAGGUAUGAGGAUCAAGUAAGUAAACCAGGAGGCACACUUACAGGUCACUGAGUACACCUUCUCCACCCUUCCCUCCUGGGGGACAACUCUCACAUCCUGACAGUGGGGUGAAUGAGAAUGAGGAACAUCUUAACACUAAUUUCUGCCUCAAGGUUGAGCACAGGGCAGGAUGUAGGUUCAAAAGCUUCCAAAUGUUGAUGGACCCAGGUAGCCUCAGAGGGAGUAAGUGGAGGCCCUGAGAAUGGCUCCUAUGUGGCCCCUCUAAUAGCUCCUCCCGUCCCUUGAUUUCUAGGCCGAGAGCUGUCUACUGUCCCUCUGGUACUCCUCCUCCUGAGCACAAAGCUGCUCCUGGCCAUCAGUGUCUCUGCCAUCUACGUUCACAGGAAGUGGAGGGCCUGACUAGCACAGAGUCCUGGGCCUCUCCAGAACCACAUCGAGACAGAGCAGGCUCCACGGGCCACCACGAUGCCUGUCCCUGCAUCCUCGCCCUGCCCACCUCUGCCAUCCCUGCUGCUGGGACUCACAGGAAGUAAAACUACUUUACUACUGAAGGAGAAUUUCUCUCCCACCCAGCAACAGCCCAGCCAUGAGAAACUUCGCAGCUCAGCCAACGACAAGCUGUUGCCACCCUGAACUGUUUAAGCUGAGGAUGAAGGAAUUCAAGUUUCCCUGGAUUAGGAUGAAACUGUGCCUGUACCCACAAGGUUAACAUGGGAAACAAAGCAACCAAAGUUUCUAAACUUGCUUUGCAGAACAUCAGGAGGCUCGCUGAUAAAGAGAGUAGCUUGCUGGCAGCCCUCUGCCUGACUAAGCAUCUCGCAGGAGCAUUGAGCAGUUCAAACUUCAGCCCCAAAGGCCACAUGCUCCCCUCCCCGUCUUAUUCUCACAAUGUGCUUUGGAAAAACGCUUAGAACUGCACGUAGGCAAGCUACUCUGCGACUGGUAGAAAGAAUAACGUGUCCUCUGCCCAAACUGUUCCUUCUGUCCCAGAUAAAGAAGUAAUUGAGAUUUUCUUCGAUUCCUCAGAUCUGCUACAGAGAAGCACUCAACAUUCUGUGGUCAUCCAUCGCCUGACGUUUUGAGCCCCUCCCCAAACCCGUUUGCCUUAAAUACGUCAUUUCCAAAUCAGUUCUCCCUGGGAUGGGUUUUUUGAGGACGAUAGUCCACCGUCUUCCGAUGUGCUAGCUUAUUGCUUAUUAAAGUUCUUUCUCUACCACUGCCUGCUUGGCCAUUUAUCUUGCCAUGAGCAG